GUGGGGAAUAUUGCACAAUGGGCGCAAGCCUGAUGCAGCAACGCUGCGUGAAGGAAGACGGUUUUCGGAUUGUAAACUUCUGUUCUUAGUGAAGAAUAAUGACGGUAGCUAAGGAGCAAGCCACGGCUAACUACGUGCCAGCAGCCGCGGUAAUACGUAGGUGGCAAGCGUUGUCCGGAAUUACUGGGUGUAAAGGGAGCGCAGGCGGGUGAUCAAGUCAGCUGUGAAAACUACGGGCUUAACCCGUAGACUGCAGUUGAAACUGUUCAUCUUGAGUGAAGUAGAGGUUGGCGGAAUUCCGAGUGUAGCGGUGAAAUGCGUAGAUAUUCGGAGGAACACCGGUGGCGAAGGCGGCCAACUGGGCUUUAACUGACGCUGAGGCUCGAAAGUGUGGGGAGCAAACAGGA
rnacentral:rRNA from 1 species